UGCGCAGGCCGCCGUGUGUGUGAGGUGUGAAAUCCCGGAGCUUAACUCCGGAACUGCGCCUCAAACUACACGGCUAGAGCAUUGGAGAGGGAAGUGGAAUUCACGGUGUAGCAGUGAAAUGCGUAGAUAUCGUGAGGAACACCAGAGGCGAAGGCGACUUCCUGGACAAUUGCUGACGCUCAGGCACGAAAGGCUGGGAGCAAAAG
rnacentral:rRNA from 1 species